UAAGGGAGGACAUGCAGUGUUUGACUUCCUGUGCCUGGCUUAUUUCACCUAGCUUAGUAUUCUCUAAUUCCAUCUACGCUGCCUGAAACCACAGAAUUUCUAGAAGCAAUCAGACUGAAAUACAAGCCAACAGGAUUUGCUGAUUAAUGGGAUUGUGGAGCAUGAGAGGAAGAAAAGAGAUAAGGCUGGCUCACAGGCUCUUGGUCUGAGCAACAGGAGGGAUGGUGAACUGGAGAUGUAACGACUUCCUUUUUUGUCUUGGAAGAUUCCUAAAUGUCAUUGAGAGACCCAAGACGUCUCAAUCUCACUUAAUGCAAACGGAAAACCAAGGGUUUUUAAAGGUGAAAUGGAUCUUGCUAAUGAAGAAGUAUCACUCUUCGUGGGGCAUGCAGCUUGUUAGUUCAAGUUAGAAUUCUGGGCAGUAGGCGUGUGCCAAGCUGCAAGACUUUUUCUCCUCCUAAAUGAAUCGUGCAGUAAAUUGGGCAUUUGGAUCUUUCCCUUGUGAAGCUAUCUCACAAGUAAUACAUUCAUGGUAAGAAGGACUUUGAAGUCAGGCAGACAUAUGUGGAUCCCAGCCCGACCACUGAACUCUGAUCUCUGGCAAGCGACUUCAGCUUUCUGGGUAUCUGUUUCUUCAUCUCUAAAAUGGGAAGGUAAUACAAAUGCAUACGUGCUAUUGUGUGAAUUAUAUGACAAUGCAUUUAAAGUGUCUAAAAUGGAAUAUGCACUCAAUAAAUGUUAAUCCACCCUCUGAUCCUCUUUUUAUCUUUGUUGACCUCUAAUCCCACCUCUUCAUUUAGGUAAUGAAGAAAAAUCCCUGCUUAGAUAUUAGAAGAUACAGCAGCAUAAUUACUUUUGUUUUAUUAAUGCAGUGCUU
rnacentral:lncRNA from 1 species